AACAACCAGCAGUAAAGAAGGGCAGAUGGGACCACAGGGAGAGCAGGGCGAAGAGUGUAACUUUUCACAGAAACUCUUGUUCCUGGGAUUCCUUAGAUGUUUUCUAAGAGGCUAACACCGCUGCAUCGCUCCCUGUCUGCCUCUUGCUUUCUCUGCCUACACAGUCUCUUGCAGGCAGAUGCACUUGCACUGCCUGUGCCCCAAGCUGGGAGGAGGUGAGCCAGCGCAGCCUGAUAACUACGUAGCAGCAGUUCGCUUGGUUCCCAUCCAGCUGGCUCGGCAGACCGAAAGUGCACGAGUGUGUCUGUCAGCGAGGACUGCAGACAGAGCCUCGUUGCCUUUUGGUGUCCCGGAGAUAUGAUACGGGACCUUUAGUUCUGCUAGGAAAAUACAUUCAGCUCCGGAGGCAGCUCUGAUAGACGAGCGCUGGUUAAUCUUGCAGCCUUGCUAAGAAAAUCGUUGUUCAAAGCUGUACCAACUGCCAAACCCAGAAGAACCUACAGCUCCUGCCCUGUUCUGUCCGAGGGCGUCACUAUUGCUCUCUCUGGGGCAACAGCCUGGCUACCAUCCACAUGCUUUUUGCUACAGCCACAGAAACAGAGAAACCUCUGCCAGAAGAGGACAUGACUAAGCAAGAGAGGAAGCUCAACUGCAGCAAAAUGAUGACGAGCAGGACAGGAAAAUCUAAAGGAGCAUUUGUGUGGCAAAAAGAGAUGUUGGAGACAUCACCUGCUCCGAUGAUGAGUACGUGGUUCAGGACGGUGACGCCCCUGGGUGUUGCUCCUAGCCCUGCUAACCAGCAAGGACCUGGGGGAAUCAGCUCACUUCGUUAGUAAACUUAGAAAUUAUCCACUUCGCACAAGUGACAAGAGGCUUAAUUUUUAUGUAUCUGGUGUGGAUGCAGAGAGGCACAGAACUGAGCACGCUGCUGGUGAAAUACGUGAACAGGGGACAAGGUAUAUCAGCAGCUCACAACUACACUCAUGGGAUAAUUGGUUCUUAAAUGACUUUAAAAGACUUUGAGAUCUUUGAUUGAAAGACUUCAGCAAGGCAGCAAGUGUGAUAUAAACACAAAUUAUGCAUCUAUUGUAUGUCUAUGUUCCGAGCUGGAUUUAUGUCUGUGGACAUAUACAUGCAUGUGUACUUGCAUGUCCUUUGAAGUUGAAACACAUCUGAACUGAACAUAUAAGUGAAGUGGAGAGUGUGUGCGUGUAUGUGUGUAUAUAUAUAUAUAUAUAUGUAUACAAACAUACACCUUGUGUAUUGAACACAAGCACCAAAAUACGCUGGAAAGCACAACACACAUAUUGCACUCUGCCUGCAAAUCUAAUGCUAAGGUCAGAAUUUGUUUUAUCCCACUGCCUUAUUUUUAAGGCCUAGAGAAAUACUCACACUAGCCAAAAUAAUCCAGCUGUGACUGUUGAGCUCACAUCAGUAUUUUCCACAUUUUUCAAGCAGCUGUCAUAUAAAACUUUCAUCUGCUGCUCAGAUUUGUAAAAAUGCUAGAAUCGCACCAUUUUAAAAAUGCAAAAUCACUCUUCUUUUAAGAUAUUAUAAACAUUUUUUUAUCAUCGCUAACAAGACCUAUACUGUUAUUGAAAAUAGUAUAUCUGAAUCAAAGGGUAUAACUUCAUUAUUUCAGAUAAUGGUACACAAACAGGGAUACCACAGGAAAGGCCAUUAUUGCCUAUAAAGGUUAAUUAAUUUAAUUCCCCUUAAAGUAGUCAUGAAGGGAUACAUAUUGAUUCAAAGUUACUGGAUCUGCAUAUGUGGAACGCAGGCUGAAUAUGUAAGCCUGCACUACACCUAUAUAUAGACAUGAAGGCAUUCAUUAGAAAGUGGAACCAAAUUGCAGGUUGCAACAAAUUUAUUUUAAAUCCCUACAGAAGAUCUGGAGGUGUUUCCAUUGCGAUCGUGGGUCUGAGAACUAUAACAAUGCUUUCUUCAAGUAAGAGAAAUGAAUGUGGAAAUCCAGAAGAAGAUUCAACUCUGACCCAUUUGGAAGAUAAAAUAAGCCUGUGAUAUCCUGUUCAUUCACCAGGGAGUCAUACUUAUCACUGAAUUGCUACAGCGAGCCAGAAUACAGGUAUUUAUAUGUUCUGUAUGAUCCAAGCGCUUAGAAUUGCUUUCGACUGUGGACUUCAGUGGAGAUGAAUGAAAGAAAUUAACAGGACCACUGCGAUCCAGGCUCCUCCCGCAGGGUAUAAUGACCCCCGGAAUACCUCCCGUGUACAUCAUUCCAGUCUGUCCCAGGAGAUCCCAGGCAUCGUGCAAACCCUCCAGUAGAGAGGUCACCGGAGCCACCGCUGCCGAGCUCCCCCCCGCUGCUGCCAGCUGAUGGCCACUCAACAGCGAACAGCCACAUGGCGCAGGGAGAUUUCAUGAAAUGAGAAAGCGCCUCCCUUUUCUUCUGGGAAAGCAUUGAAUAAUGGGACUGAAUGUCAUUUUUCUUAGAACAACCACAGGAUGGGUGGCUGGAGAGUGAUCAAGGUUCCAUGCUUCAUAGGGCACAUCGGGAAAAAGUUACUGUGUAAUCAGAUCUCUUGUGCACAUACAUCCUCUGUCACACACACUAUGAUAACUCUCGAGGUUAUUUAUUGCAACAGACCCCUACAGUGAUGACAUUAUGAAAUUAAUAUUAUUACUAUGAAUAAUUGCACCAUUUUUCUCUGAUUCUUGUUACUCUUGUUUUCUGCUAAUACAUGCAUGUCAAUGCUAUUCAUUACCGGAGUGACUGGAAAUGUUUCACACGGUUUGCAAUGGAUAGUUUUAACAUACUCCAAGCAAAGGGGAAAAAUAUGCCUUGACUCUUUUUGGCCUUGAAACUAUGCAACAGACUUGCAAAAUAUUUAAGCACAGGGCUACUAGGUCUCUGUUAAGGUCACCGUAACCUAUAAAAACACUCCCACUGAUUUCAUUAGGCUUUAUAUCAACACUGAAAAGACCAGAACCAUCAGACCUGCCUAUUAAUCCCAAGAAUGGAAAAGUCGGAUAGCCAAUCUCAUAAUGCACGUUCAAUAAUAAAUUGACCUGCACGGAGACCUGUGUCUCAGACGGCUGAAUGGCAGGGCUGCGCAGUAGGUGAUGAAGAACCAUGCAGCAAGAGGGGCAGAUUCAGGUGCUGGUCCCUUUCAGCUUGAGCAAUGCUUUACACUUUACACAGGGAACAGGAGAAAACACCACUGGGGAGUAAGCUGAGAGACCUGGAAGAUCUUAAUGCCUUAGUUAAGGCUUUUUGCCUUGGUGUCAGCUCUUCCACACUGAUGCACAUAUGCUUUCCUAACCACAAUGCUAUCCAAAGCCUCCAUCUUGGUUAACAUUUCAUCAUUCACACUCCAGGAAUUAUCAUUUCCUCUAGACAUGCUGACAAAGCUCAUUGUUUAUGGCUCACAGCAUGUCAGAACUGCUGGUUUUGCUUUGGACUGCAAGAUGUUUGGAAAGCCACACGCUUUUUCUGAAGCCGGCUCAGUCCCCUCCGUGCCAGCCUCAGCUGCUGCAUUCGCUUUCGCCCAGAACGCUGGAUCCUGUCCAUGAUGAGCCAGAGCAGAGAACGUCAGCUUGAGACAGACCAAACAGCACCGGAUUUCACAUAAUCACAGCCAAAUUCUUCCUGGCAGCUACAUGUACAGCCUUUCCAGCGGAGAUGGCUGGUGCUUUUCCACCUUGCUCCCCUCCUAACCCAUGGAUCAGGCUGGCUGAGGAGUGAGCCAGCGAGGGUGAUCUGGAGAUGUGCCCAUCAUGCUGUAUCCCCCCAACGCAGGGGAGAUUAUGGCCCUUCCUGGCAGCAGUAUCGCCCAUGGAGGGAUUGUGACGGGGGAGGAGGCCAUGCACCACCCCUUCUGGAAAAAGAAGUGAUCUCCAGCAGUGGUCCUGUGCUCUAGGUCUGCCUGUCCAGCAAUGGGGGCAAUGCCUGGCUGCUCACUGACCUGCUGCGAUGCUGCGGCCAUGAGUGGCUGCUAAGUGUUGCAGUUGGAGAAAUGCAAGUCACUGUUUAUUAGUUUCUGCAUUUCAUAUGACAGGACAGACAUUUUUCCGUAAGUCCCUGAAAUCUAAACGAACAUGGAAAACACAGGACUAGUCCUGCAGAUCUGUACAACGUUACCUCUGGCUGCAUGGCUGAGCCCUCAUUUCAGUCCAGGAGGAGCGAGAGCUGAGUUUUUGAUGAAGACUCAAUUUCUGUCUUGCAGGGAAAGUCCUGAGCCACAUAAUCUCAUCUUUCCAGCUAAAAGAUCUCCUGGAUGACCUGUCUCGCUCACAGCAGUACUGCAGGCAGGAGAAGACACACAGCACAGGAGCUGUCUGGGGUGUCUGCACAGGAGCUGAAGCCACUCAAAGGCAGUUCUGCCUGCCCAGGGACAACAAAUGGUCCAGGCAGAAAGGGGGCAGCUACAUGCCAUGAGCAGAGGCAGAGCAAAUGUAAUGAACCAAGGGCUGUAAGUCCCCCACAGAGCCAGUCAAGGGCUGUCCUCAGUACAUAGUGAUUUGUGGCCGGGGAUGAGGAUGAGCAGGGUAAUGGCAGCAUUCCUCAUUACAUGGGGCAGACGUGCUCAAAGGUACAGGACACAUCCUCCACAGGAUGGAGGUCCCUCUGCAUCUAGUGGUUGCUCCCAAGGUUGGGUUGCUCCCCCCAUGGUAACCCCAAAAGGACUAAUCCAGCCCAGGGAGGUAUUAAGGAGAGGUGGCACGUUUGUUAUCACUGGGAAAUCAGCCAGUGGUUUGAAUGUUUUUUGGGAGGGCAGAAAACUCCUGAAGGUCACUGGAGCUGUUGACAAACAGCAGCUUGACCACCAAGACCAUAGGAAUGCUGCCUUUCCUUGUUGCCUGCCAGCAUCUCACUCUGUCUCACUUUGCUGCCUUGGCCUGACAAGCCCCCGUGGAUGUGACCUGUCUCCUGGAGCUUGUUAUCCCAUGUUUUAUUUGCACCACACUGGAUCUGUCCAGGUGAUUAAACAAAAGACAUAUUUUUAUUAUUGUUGUUGUUUUUACUGUGCAAUUGCUAUGUCCUUUAUUAGGGCUUUGCUUUUCCUGUGAGGAAUAAUCUCUGGAAACUUGGAUAGGAUCCUUUGGCUCACACUCGAAAAGGCUCAACUUUCACAAAAUACAGCAGGACCAUAAGAGCAGUCAAGUAGUAAGAGUGAAGCUCCAAAUGAGAAUGCCGUGGCCGAAUGCUGAUGUGCUACUGACUGUGACCUGCUUUCUCCACCACUGCAUUUUGGUUUUAGUAGGCAAGUCAAAUUUUUUUUUGUUCCUUUUUUUUUCUGUCAUGCCCAAACACCUAUUUCCAGUGAGAUAUGAAAGGCUGCCAAAUAGCAGGCACAUGA